UAGCCAGUUGGCGGGGUAACGGCCCACCAAAGCGACGAUCAGUAGCCGGCCUGAGAGGGUGAACGGCCACAUUGGGACUGAGACACGGCCCAAACUCCUACGGGAGGCAGCAGUGGGGAAUAUUGCACAAUGGGGGAAACCCUGAUGCAGCGACGCCGCGUGAGUGAAGAAGUAUCUCGGUAUGUAAAGCUCUAUCAGCAGGGAAGAAAAUGACGGUACCUGACUAAGAAGCCCCGGCUAACUACGUGCCAGCAGCCGCGGUAAUACGUAGGGGGCAAGCGUUAUCCGGAUUUACUGGGUGUAAAGGGAGCGUAGACGGCAGCGCAAGUCUGGAGUGAAAUGCCGGGGCCCAACCCCGGAACUGCUUUGGAAACUGUGCAGCUCGAGUGCAGGAGAGGUAAGCGGAAUUCCUAGUGUAGCGGUGAAAUGCGUAGAUAUUAGGAGGAACACCAGUGGCGAAGGCGGCUUACUGGACUGUAACUGACGUUGAGGCUCGAAAGCGUGGGGAGCAAACAGGAUUAGAUACCCUGGUAGUCCACGCCGUAAACGAUGAUUACUAGGUGUCGGGGGGCCAAGGCCCUCCG
rnacentral:rRNA from 1 species